UGUGUAGGCGGUUCUCUAUGUUCGGUGUGAAAUCUCCCGGCUUAACUGGGAGGGUGCGCCGAAAACUGGAGGGCUUGAGUAUGGGAGAGGAAAGCGGAAUUCCUGGUGUAGCGGUGAAAUGCGUAGAUAUCAGGAGGAACACCUGCGGUGUAGACGGCUUUCUGGACCAUCACUGACGCUGAGACACGAAAGCGUGGGGAGCAAACA
rnacentral:rRNA from 1 species